CCGUCCUGCCGUGGCGGGCGCCUGUCGUCGGAGCUCUGGUCGUUGGUUCCAGAGUCGGGCGGUUCCACACGGGGGGCGCCUAUCCCGCUGUGCCACCGAUCACUUAAUUCGGCUCUCUCGACUGGUGCAUAAUAUGCUUAAUUAUGUUGUGAUUUUUCUGUACCAAUGAAUGAUCCGGAUUCUGAGAAGGAGAAGAAAGCCUCAGGGGCCAGAGUAUUCAGGAGGACACCAAUCCAAAUCUAUGGUGUUUGAGGCAGAUUGAAAGAAGGUUUGCUGCAGGGAAGAGAUAGAAAGAGCGAAAUAGAGAGGGCAGGGGCGUGAUCUGUUGUAAGUAUGAAGUGAAGUAAUCCUUCCUGUCCUGCUGUUUGUUUUCGCAAGUCUGUUUUGCACAACUCUGUUUGCAGUGCGUGCAGUAACUGAUCGAUUGCGUUUUGAGGGUUCUAGGUGUCGAAUAUGACCGGGCCAUUAAAAUAAAAGUUGUAUAUCUUUU